AAUAGAUACCCCGGUAGUCCACCCCGUAAACGUUGGGAACUAGUUGUGGGGUCCUUUCCACGGAUUCCGUGACGCAGCUAACGCAUUAAGUUCCCCGCCUGGGGGAGUACGGCCGCAAGGCUAAAACUCAAAGGAAUUGACGGGGACCCGCACAAGCGGCGGAGCAUGCGGAUUAAUUCGAUGCAACGCGAAGAACCUUACCAAGGCUUGACAUACACCAGAACACCCUAGAAAUAGGGGACUCUUUGGACACUGGUGAACAGGUGGUGCAUGGUUGUCGUCAGCUCGUGUCGUGAGAUGUUGGGUUAAGUCCCGCAACGAGCGCAACCCUCGUUCUAUGUUGCCAGCACGUAAUGGUGGGAACUCAUGGGAUACUGCCGGGGUCAACUCGGAGGAAGGUGGGGAUGACGUCAAAUCAUCAUGCCCUUAUGUCUUGGGCUUCACGCAUGCUACAAUGGCCGGUACAAAGGGCUGCAAUACCGUGAGGUGGAGCGAAUCCCAAAAGCCGGUCCAGUUCGGAUUGAGGUCUGCAACUCGACUCAUG
rnacentral:rRNA from 1 species